rnacentral:lncRNA from 1 species
GUGAUUUUUUUACAUUCUCGUCCUGCAGAAUGGGACACCUGCAAUCACCCAGCUCUUGCUCUGGGCUCUGUGACAACACGAGCUCCUCGUGCCUUGCUCUGUGUGGCAUUGAGCCAGCUCAAUAUCGGCAAGAGACAGAAACACAAAAGGAAUCCGUGUAAAGCUGCAGAGGGUAAAUGUUCCAUCAGACUCCACCUGAAAACUUCCACACAUCACCUGGAGUGUUUCAAAGGCCAGGGAAGAAAGCUCCCUCCAGCCCUGCAGCCUCCAAGCUGAGCUCCAGCUGCCCUGAGGGAUGCACUGCCCAGUGCUCCUGCUAAAGAAAUGGAAAAGCCAUUCCUACAAAUGUAAACAUGAGUACAAGUCUUAAAUAAAUCUGUUUAUGGA